GACAGCUUCACUUUCAGGUGCCAGCGACUGAUCAGGGAGCGAGUUCUGCAACACAAGGAAAGCAGGGAAGGUAGUGAGGGAAAGGGAACAUCUCCAGGCCCAUCAGGCCCACUUUCAGGUCCUUAGAAGUUCCUUACAAACUCUGUCAACCUUUAACUCUUCCUGACAAGAAGUUUCCUCCUCCAGGUACCUUCUCAAGUGAAAAAUUUUCAUAGUUUGCCACCCAAUCUUAGGAAAAUACGUAUUAUUUUGUUCAUUUUAAAUAAUAUUUUGAUUUUCUUCCUAAGAAAUGUAACUUGUUAACUCUAAUGAGUAGGAGCCUUGAUGUCAGUACUGUGAGACACUCUGCUGUUCUGAAGUCAGAUGUGCUGGAAGGGCUGUUUUUUGGUGAUUGGUUUUUAAUUGAAGGGCUUUUUUUGGGUUUUGGGUUUUUUUACAAAUACUCAGUCAACUCCAGUGAAAUUAUGUGUCUCUAAAAAGCAACAGUGACACAUUCUUAAUGACCUGUUAAAUGCUGGCAACAAGGUUAUCCAAAACCCUGUUUCCAUUCAAGCAGCUCUAAAUUGCCCAGGAACUGACUACAACGUUUAAAAAAAAAUAAAUUGUUGCUUGGUAGUGACCGAAGAAAGGGGUGAAAAAAAGAUGCAUUAGUAAGUGCAAAGACACUGUCUCCUGUCCUUCAGUCAGCAGCCAGGUGCUAGAGGAAAGAGCUCAGUGGAACAUGAAGUAUUAGAGGCAGAAGUGAGAAAGCAGAAGUGAAACUGAGAGAGGCUUGGGAAAGAGGGAAGGUCAGUAGCUGCACAGGGACAGAACUGUCUUCCUGUAAAGAGCAAUUCACUUUGAAACCUGAACCUUCAACUUGAAACUGAAUUCAGCAUUCCCAGUUCUCACACACUGUGACACUGAGUAGCAAAGCUUCUCUCUCCUCUAGCCAGAAAUGGUGCAAGGGAGAUGGCAACUUCCUACUAAUCCUGUCAGGAACUGAGUCCUGGGUGGUGAAGUUUCUGCUGGGAAUUUAAUGGCUUCACUUUGCUGAUGAAUCAGACACAUGUGACUUAGCAAGGCAUUACAUAAAGAUGAAAAAUGCUUAGUAAGUAUUAAGUUCUUAAGCUGUCAGUGAUAAGGUCUCUGUGACCAAAAUUUUGCCUAUGAGCUUCUGGCAGUUGGCAAGUGUCACAAACGAAAAUGUACAUAAUCAGCCAAUUCAAAAUGAGUGGGUCAGUGAAAGGUGUGAUUAAAAUGGGGGCAAUUCACUGAGAACUACAAAAACCUGCCACUAUGGUCCAUAGUCUGAAGGAAGAGGCCUUCUACCUCCAUGCACCAAGCCAGUGGACACCUGAACAUUUGGCUGUUUCUGUUUCACUCUCUGUAAGUCUAACCCUUUCUAACUUUACCAAAUGUGGCACAGCAAUGCAAGUAUGGCUUUGUGAUGUUUUAAUGCUGUGAUGAGCCUCAUGGGAGGGACCAAAACAGACUCUCAAUCAAUUACGAGUGGCUAACAUACAGAACAGUGAGGGCAGACCACAAAAAUACCUGAUGACUGCUAUUCACAGAAUCCUGUCCACCUGACAGCAGGGAGGGCUAUUGCUCCAACAGGGAAUGGCUGCAUCAAGGCCAGCAGGUGUUCAAAUGUUUCUUACACAAUGGAACUUCAGGUUUGUGGUAGCUAAAAACCUGUCCUCUUGCCACAGCUUACCACGCACAGCCAGCUUAUACUGGGAUUUUCCAUUCUAGAGUAUCAUGAAAGCAACUCCCACCUGUUUUAUCAAAAGACUGAACAUUGUAAGUUCGUAGUUCUGCUGGUCCAGAAAGUCUUCCAGUAUUUGGAGGAUUAGGGAAAAAUCUCUCUUGUCUUCGCACAGGAAGAGCUGGAUCAGCAUAAGGCUCACCUAACAUUGAAGAAAUCACAAAAAACAGGUCUGUGAAGAUUUAUUCCUUCAUUCCACACAAUCUUAGACCAGAAAGGUUCUCCGGGUAUCUUAAGCUCUUGUAAAUAUACAAAGUGUCUAUCAAUCAGAGUGAGCAAACAGAUCUUAAAUAACCCAGAGGAAUCCCACCAAGUACAUUCAAUUGGUAAUGUUUCUAAAGAGCUGCAAAAGAAAAAGUUAAUUGAUUUCUGGUUUAACAUACAGCAGAAUUUUGAAAGUUGUGAUUGCCUAAGUCAUAAACAGUGGGGCCCUGAAACAAAGGUUCAGCCUAGCAAAGAAGAUGGAAGACAAAACAAGGUACUAUAUGUUUUAAGCCAUUCUUAGGUAAGAAUACUGUUUUCCAUUGAGUUUCACAGUGCUGUAAUAUGUUUCCACCAACUUGCUGGCAUCAGAUCUAGUAAUCUGUCAUGCAGCUACAAGACAAACUGUAUCAGUGAGAUCCUAGGGCAAAGGUGGGCUAAGAACAAGAAGGAAAGGCCAAGGAAACCAAACUACCUCUCUGCAGUAUCCUGUCAACAGACCACACCUGCCAGAUGAGAAAUUACAUCCUGAGAGGAGCUUGAGUUCUACCACCAGGCUUUCACACAGAUGUGUAUUGCUUGCUGCAGUAAUAACUGAGGUACCUUAAUCUGUGUGUUACCUAUUUUUUUUUUCUAAACUUGUAACAUUUUUUCUUCUUUAUUACAGGUAUCCAGGAAAGUUGUCCAUACCCCCAAGUUUUUACUUGAGAAAUACCAGCAGAAUCCUCUUAACUAAUCUCUGCCUUCCCUGAGUGGUCAAGCACAAUACAGAUGUUUAGCUGAAGAAGUGAGAGUGAAGACUGAUUUUGCUGCUGUUAAUCACUGAAGAGACAGUAACAAUAGGAAAACAUGUGCCAGACAGGAUGAAUGUACCAUGGUACUCCUGUACUAUUAAUAUAAACUUUUUUUUUUUAAAUAAUAUUUUUCAACAUGUCUUCUUUUUUCUUUUUUUUUAAAUUUAAAUAAAUUAGAACUUUUUAAUUCUUAAAUCUCUUAUUAACUAUCCAGCCCAGACAGGUCUCUUAAUAUACUAAACAAGCUCCCAGUAAAAUUAUGAAACCAGUUGACUGUCCCUUGAUAAUAACAAUAUGUACUUAAAAGAUAGCAGAGAAGUGCAAGUGAAUUACAGUGUUUGAAAAGAGGAAAAAAUACUAUUAAAAAAUACCAGUUCAGUUACAUGUGCAGGUCCAAGAAAACAUUUAAUAUUUUAACCCCAAAAUAGUUAAAUAUAUAGACUGCAAGUCAGUAACUCCUCUUUGCCAUGGAUACAGUAGCUAAGCAGAGUUUUUACCUGGUGGAGGCAGAAGUAUCCUGUGUUCCCUUUCCCAAGGAGGAGACAGGGAUCCAGUAUCUGAUGGUGGUCUGUGGGCAUCAGUGAGUCUGUCAGAAUUCAGCUCUCCUCUCUCACUUCCAGCUUCAUACAUGGCA